CAGCACAACGUUCCAUUGAGGCGAGCGCGUGCUCCGGCGAGCACAUGGGCAGCGGGGCCCGUUCCGCUCCGCGCCCCUCCGCGCCGCGCCGCCCCGCGCCGCCCCGCCGACCCCUUCCCGGGGAGGGGGCGCGGUCCCAGCCCCACGCUUCCCACCAGUCUGGAGUAACGUUUGGAGGAGCCCGGCAGCGUGGUAUUUUCAGUAGCUCCCAAGGAUUUUUAGGAUCAUGGGAUGUAUGGACCCCCAAAACCCUCUGGAGAAUGUUGGCUGUGGAUAAAAGCAUCUGGAAGUUCCUGCUGGGUUUUUACCCUGUUUUUUUCUGGGUCACCUUGUGUCAUUUGGGAAAGAAGCCUCUCUGUCCUGAGGAUUAUAGGAAACCGGUCGCUUACUGGAAUACCUCCACUUGCGUUUUAUCAAGAUGGAGCCAUUGCUUUACCCAGCAGAAGGAUAUUUUUUCUUCUCCCAGACCUUUUCCAGUGCAGCAGCACUCAUGUCCAGCAGGUCUCAUUUGACUGCAAAAAGGAGAGAGGAGGAGCGUGUGGAAGGGAGGUCAGAUCCUGCCAGGGUUUCCUGGGAAAUGAGGAGCCUGGAGUCAGGAUAAAGACCCACAGCCAGAGCAUCUGCUGGAGCUCCCUGGAUGAAGCGCUGAGGCUGCUGCUCCCUGGGCAGGAGCCCACCAGGCAGUUUGCCCAUAAACUGCCAGUAUUUAGUAUGGUCUCUUGUUCUGCAAUGCUUCCUUCUGUGUUUGAAGCACGCUCUGCAUACUCAUAAUAUCUUUGAGUGAAGCCAAAAUAUAGAGGACCACCAAAACUUGCGUAAAAGAAUGAGACAGCUGGCAAUCUUUCCCACCAGAAAUCUUCCAGAGUCUGCAAUGUCUGAAUUAAUGUGGUCCAUGGGACAAAGAUGUUCAGGGAGCAGGAGCUGCACGUAGGACACGGCAGGGAUGCUGGGCCAUGAGGUUCUGGGUGCUGCAGGUGCAUCCGCUGUUUGCAUGAUGAAGCUUGAUGAGCUGUGAUUGGGCUUGGAUUAUCGUAUUUCAGAAGACUUUCUGAACUCUCCAGGCUACCCUUCCCAGACUGUGGGGAUGGGUGGGAUUAAGUUCCUAUCUCCAGUAUCAUACAAGCGGAAAGAAGGGAGUUGGCUGCUUCGCACAAGUAAACAAAAUUGUUGCUGUGUUGCUGUUGGGAGCCUUCAAAAUGAGAAAAGCCUGGAGUAUAGCCCAUGUUUUAGAGAUGGAUUUUGCCUGGGAGGAGGGGACACAAGGGAAGACGUAGGAGGAAGGAGGAGAGGUGAUACUACAAGCCAGCUUCCUGACCUCCAGAGUGGGACUGAAGCUUCAUAACAAGGUUUUCUAACUAUGGAAGCUCUCCUGAGGAGCUGCAUCAUGCACUGCUGGCCCCAAGGAUGGGAUGCAGAGCUGGGAGUGAGGAUGAACUACAAUGUGCCGCCGGGAGUUGCUUUAGCAAGGAGAGAGGCUUUCUGGCAUGUUAUACGGUGCUGAAAGCCAUGCUACCCUUGACAGCAAAAAUCCUUAUCCUUCUUGUGGUUUUUUCCAGGACAGCUGAUAUUUCCUGUUAGAGAUGCUUUGUAUGCAAAUCAAGGCGGUACAACAAAAAAAAGUCCUGAAAGCAAUCACACUGAUAAACUAAGACCACCGGGGAAUUCCUGCUUAUCAUUUUUUAUCUUUUCUUUUUUCAGUUCUGUACUAGAUACUUCUUUGCCUGUUUUUUCUUACAGUCUUUAAUGUUUGCUCUGACAGACCUCUUGCUUAUAAAAUACAGUGCUUCUUGCAUUUUGCAGAGCUCCAUGUCAGUCUACAUGAAUAAGAGGCAGUAAGUGCUGGGAAUUGGGGUUAACAGUCACUGUGUUUCACCUUUGCCCUGCAUUGCUCUGGUGCUUUCUGGUGUUCAAGAAAGAGAUGAACCUCAUACUGCAGAUUGCCACGUGCCUGUAGUGAUGGUCGACCUGGAAGGUGAGCCCAGAAACCUUCAGGAACCUCAGGAAAGGAAAGAGGAGAGGAGGGAAACAAGAAGCAGCCAGCAAGAGUUUGUCUAGUAACUUAAACAGGAGCAGGAUUUGACCUUCCCGAGGCACUUCAAGAGAUGUCGUGCUCAACACUGCACUGCAGUGGUGUGAAUUGGUCAUCUCCUUGCUCCAGCAAAACAAACUCCCAUCUGCCCAGCCUGUGCCCUAUAGGUAUCACUACAUGUGCAAGGGGUUGAUCAGAGCUGGGCUCCCACCCUGCUGCCAGCAGCAGCAGCUCAUCAAUGCUACAGGUUGUGAGGGUGAAAAAAAGACUUUUAGAAGCAAAGCAAGAAAAGGACAUGUCAGAGCAAGAAGGAGCUACAAAACUAGAGAGUAUUCCCGUGUGAGUCCAGAGAUACCCACUGCAGCCCGGGUCUUGUUGAAUCACACUGUGGUUGCUCUGGCCUUUGUGUGGGUAACGGUGAUAAUCACUGUGUGUGGUGUUGGGUUUUAUUCUUUGGUUUUUCUUAAAUGUAAAAUUAACAGUCAAAUUGGCGUUGGUAGGGCAGCGAGCCUGGUGUGGCUUUUAUCUACCCCGAACCUGGGGACAAAGGAGGAGAGGAAAAUGGCUUGACCAGUUUGGUGGCCGUGCACUUAACGGUCCUGGAGUUCAAAGCAAAGGACACAACAGUCAGGCACCCAAACCCGCCUGGGCUCCAACUGAUAAGUCGCAUUUCAAAGCAAAAGGCAAUCCUGAAGGGGCUCUGUCGAGUGGCUGAAGCCUGCAAUGCUGAGUCUUCUUUAAAAGGGGAUUUCAUAAGGAGUAAUAUGAACAGAAAUGGCUCUUCUGUGGUUUUACACAUUCCAGGCAUGCCAGGACUGUUCCUGUCAAGGAGGGGCAGUCUCUGGGGUUUUAGGUUCUUUUUUUUUUUUUUGGCAAAAUAUUUGCCACAAACUAGCAGCUGAAAUAGUGAAAAAUAAAUGAGAGUUGCAAAAUCAUUACAGUAGCAGUAAUGGAAACUGUGAGGCUUACACUUAAACUGGCUGUGGGGUUUCACCCCAUCAUCUACGCUGCUGAGCUGUUGGGGUUACUACUUUUGCCUGCUAUGACUGCUUCAGGAUGGAUGAUUUAAAAGCAGAGCUUCAACUGUUGGUUGCCCAGAACCUCAAAAAACAGCGCUUUAGUUUUUUUCAGAAGCUAUGCCUUUUCAGCAGAACCACUGUUAAGUAUAAAACCCUUCAGUGUCAGUGCAGUUAUGUGGAUAUACAGCAUCUUUACAUUGUACCAGCAGCAUUGAUUUCUGCAGAUCUAUGGGUACAGAAAUGGGAUACAGCUACUCUUGCUUCAAGUGCACUUAUUUUGCUUUCAAGCAGACUGUGCCAGGUUGGUUUGCACCUGUACACUUCAACACAAAGUUGAUUUUAAUUGAUUUGAGAGCUUCCACGCACAAAAUGACAGUGCCUUCAACCUUAAAGAGCACCUUAACUGUGCCUUAAAAGAGUCUGAAGUUUCACAUGCAGUAAGGCACUAGAUGGUUCGUGUAGACCUGACCUGUUAGAUAGGUGUCUAAUUCAUAAGCCUGUUCUUCCAGGCAUGUGUGCUGCUCCUGUUGCCAUAGUCCUAUGAGCUGUGUAGGUAGCAGGAGCUCAUGGAUAGCUGAGAAAGCUACGACCAGAGGUGUUACUGCCAUCACCUUGCUAGCUUGGGUGCCAAAAGGAGCAUGUCUGGAAGUGAGACACCCUGCAUAAACACUCAGUACCUUUAUCAGCAGCACCGUGCUGGCCACAGCCAGCUCAGCACUUUGGCAAGCUGGAACUGUACCUUCACCUUCUCUGCAGAUGAGACUAAGCCCUCUGCAGGGGGAGCAGAAAACUGAGCCAGGGUCAUCCUGGCAGAGGCUGAGCCAUGGGGCCAUAGAUACCCACCCUGAGAAUUCACUUUUCAGCCUGGGUUUGGCCACGGCGUGAGUGCAGGCAGAGGGUGAGAUGCAGAGGGUGAGAAAGCGUCUUUGAAAGUGGCAAUAAAGGAGACACGUUAGGAAUUAACCUUCUGGCAUGGUUUUACAUAAAGGUGAAUAUGGUUAUUUCAUGAUGAACAGGAAUGGGACUGGAUUUACCCUAGUGAGACCACAUUUGGAGUACUGUGCCCAGUUUUGGGCCCACCAGUUUAAGGACAGGGAACUGCUUGAGCAAGUCCAGCAGAGAGUUACCAAGAUGAUCAGGGGACUGGAGCAUCUCCCUUACGAGGAAAGGCUGAGAGGCCUGGGUUUGUUUAGCCUGGAGAAGAGAAGGCUGAGGGGGGAUUUCAUCAAUACCUAUAAAUAUCUAAAGGGUAGGUAUCAAGAGGAUGGGGCUGGGCUCUUUUCAGUGGUGCCCAGUGACAGGCCAAGGGGCAAUGGGCCCCUUGUCACAGGAAGUCCCACCUCAAUAUGAGAAAAAAACCCCUUCCCUGUGCGGGUGCCAGAGCAGUGGCACAGGCUGCCCAGGGAGGCUGUGGAGUCCCUUCCCUGGAGACAUUCAAACCCCACCUGGAUGCGUUCCUGUGCCCCCUGCUCUGGGUGUCCCUGCUCAAGCAGGGGGGUUGGACAAGGUGAUCUCCAGAGGUCCCUUCCAACCCCUGCCAUUCUGUGAUUCUGUGGAUUUAGGAUGUGGUGCCUGAAACCCCUUCCCACCCUCUAACACAGGCUGAUGUUACAGAGGAAUCUCACAGCUGUCACCUGGGCUGUUGUGGGUCUGUGGGUGGAGGAACUUUAAUCACUUUAAUCAUUUGCUUGUCAUCAAAUGCCGCACUGGCAAGAUACAAGGAAGGAAGAGCUGGUGUUAAUUCAGUGCUCAACGUAAGUAUUUUUCACCUGACAGAAGUCUGGUCUUGUAGCCUUCUGGGCUGCUUGCCAUUUUGUGUUUGUUUCCUUAAAAAAAAAAAAAAAAGCGCUUUCUUUUCCCCAUCAGUGCUUCCAACCAGAGACAUAUGGAAACAAAAGGUCAUAAGGUGCAGUCAGCAGUAAGCUACCUUUUUACUGGGCCUGUCUUGCAGGGGAUAGCUCUGAAGUGCAUUUUUCUCUGGCCACUCAGGGUCUCUGCUGUGGAAGUAUUUAUUGCUGUGAAACUGUAGCACACUUUACAAGUGGCAGAAAAAACUACUUUUGUAACCAAAUAAUUGUGUUUAACUUACAAGUCUCACAUAGGUGCAUGUUUGGAAAAUUUUUGUUUUGAACCAAAAUAAGUUUUCCACUGUGCCAUCCAGUGUGGCAAAACGAGUGGACCUUGAGUUUCAUUUUAAUAUAGAAUUAAUCCAUUUGACUGCAGCAGGUUAAAUUGAGAUGCUCUGUUAUCCUUCUCUUGGUGUGUCCUCACUUGAUAUUUUGUGCUUCAGAAUUUCCAUUUUCCCUCUUUUUGAUGGUUUGAGAGUUUUAAUAGAGAUGGCAAAAACAUAAACAUUUUUGUCCUUGGGAAGGCUAUGGCAAGUUAUGCAGUGGUGAAGAGAUGCUGACAACCUGUAGAAGAGCCGGUUUUUGAAGCAUGGGAAGUGGUUAGCGCCUCAUUUGACGUCCUCACAUCAAAGCUGGACAGCACGCUGGUCAAGAUGCUCCGUUUGAACCACAAAUUACAGGGCUUUGGGCAGAAAUCACUGGAUGAAAUUCUGUGGUCUUUAUUAGGCAGAAGGUCAGACAAAAUCAUUUAGCUGGUUUCAGCUUUUAGAAUUUAUGAAUCACAUAGUGAGGGGUUUUUUUUGAGUUUGCCUGAAAAGUUUGCCUUGGUAGCAUGCAGAAAACAAACCCCAUCUGUUCUCUCAUCCUUUCAUCAUACUGUGUUGCUUUCGAAUUGUCCUAGGAGGAGGAUAAAGUUGGGCUUGUUGGGCUUCAAAUUUCAGUAUGGGUGGCAAAGGCAACUCUACCUUGACUAUUAUGGGCCUCCCAUGACCACAGGAACGGAUGGUACCUAAUGCCAGCCCUGAUUUAACAAACAUCUGAGGACCGGCUCAUCACCACAGCAAAGCCAACAACUGGCUUUUCUCUGUUCCUCAUGGGAAUUGUGCACCAUGGGAUCCUGCAAUGAGGCAAAGAUGGGAGGAAAGCUCCAAAGGCAGCGUAUGUGCUUUUGUUAGUGUCCAGUUACUUCAUCUGCAAGCCACCGAACUUGGGACUGCCAGAACUGGCAGGAAAGAGACACUUUUGUUGCCUGGAUGUGUAAGAGUAGCUGAACUCAGCACCCACACUUCUACACAGCACCUUGUGAAAACAGGGAAAUUUGGGGAAGCCCAGAGCAAUGCAAUAGCUGGAGAAAAGAAGGGGAAAAUCAUGAGCCAGAAAUGUAAUGAAAAUAAAAAUAAUGUGAAAUAAUCUUGUUUUCUUUCCCUUUAUGCAACUGGGAUGAAAAUGCAGGUGUGAGCAGAGCACUUGCCAUCUGCAGCCUUUUCUUCCCUGCCAAAUGUGACUUGUGACAUGGUGCCACCCGGCACUCAGCGGUUUUAGCAGUUCAGUGGACAUCCCUGGUUGGUUGCCCCAGGUUUGGCCUGUCUUUGCGGCAGCGUGGACCCACUCCCCUUUGUAAGAAAGAGCUCCGAUGCCUUUCUUGUCCUAUAGUAAAACUUCCACCAGACCUCAACAGGGACCGGACAAUGCUGGGCAGAGUUUAAACUAUCAGGUCAAAAGGCUUCGGAGCCAUCUCCUCCUAAGGCAGGCAUCUAAAAUAGGUAGGUUGCCCCCUGGUAAUGGCUGUUUGCCUCCAGUGACUCUGAGGGGAGGCCAGACAGCUGGUUGAGAUAUGGACUACUGCACUUUGGAUGUCUGAAGCUCCAUGAGAUGAACCCCUUCUCACCACCUGCAUGAGUGAGAAGGAGCUACUAGAACAAAGCAGCUAAUGAAGAUCCAUCUGACACCGUCCGAGAUGAAAAUAAUACAGAAACUUUAAUCAGCUCUCACAAGCCGAGCGGUCCCUGGAGGUCCCAUACCAAGCCUGACCCACUUGCUGGGCCCCAGCAGCGCGGCACUGGGCAUUCCGCCUGGCUUCGGAGGAACGAAAGGACAGCAAUCUAAAAAGAGACGGGAGCACAGGGGAAGGCAGUGAGUGGUAAGACUUUUUAAGAACUAGUUGGGGUAUUUUGAUCAUUAUUAAAUGCAAACCCACCUUCUGCAGCAUUUCUUUUUUUGAGCUGCUCAGAAAGGAGGGAGGUGUUCGGAGAGAUCUGUUUUCAGCCUGAUCAAAUGAUUUCCCAGUUCCAUCCGUGCACCCGCCUGCUGCAUCCCAGUCUCUCCAGCCGUACCAUGCUGGGGAAGCUGCUGUGAGCGUGUGUCCUCGGGGCUGAGCUCCAGCACUGUGACUGGCUGCCCCCACCCCAGGCUGUAGCCCGCUUUGCGGUGACGGAGCAAGGGCUCUUGCCACCAGCAAGUAGCCGCAUGACUGUUUUGCCAGAUGUCCGCGCUUGCAGGCAAGCCUGCCUGCGCAGAGGCUUGGGAUGAACCCAGGCUCCCAUCCGUAAGGUCUCUAAGGGAUGUGACCGCUUUGCAAUGGCUUCAGAUUGGGGCAUCUAAGUGAAAAAAGCGACAGUGGGUAAAACUCAAAUCCAAAAUCUCUGGGCUUUGAGAAAAUUAUAGCAGUGGACUAUGCAGCAAACUGUAAUCCACAUCCCCUUCCAGGAAGGUGUUGCUGGGAAGAUGGUUCCCACAUGCUCCUUGGAAGGGCCGCUCUGCUGCCAAAUGAGCACCGGUCUUUCACCCGCCUGUGUGUACCUGUCCCACAAGCUGCAGCUGGGAUGCCACUAGUCCUCGCCAGACCCUGGGAGGAUGCGAGGUGCUGGCACCCGCCGGCAUGCCGAGGCCUGGCUGACUCCCCCGGCAGAGCGACGCUCCAGGGCCUGUGGACAACAGUCCAGCAAAGUGAGAGGAGAACAAACCGCCUCCUCCCUGUGUACAGCACACCUUGAUUUUCUGAUCUUUUGUUCUCUUUUUCUUUGUCUGACAAACUGAAGUACAAACCUCUUUCACCUGUUUGUCAUUUGUUCACUGGUGGUUGACUAAAGGAUUUGUGUUGUUUUUUUUUAAUUGGUAGGGUGAUGAUGUAAUUAUAAGCCUAACAUUCAUGGUAUAUUUUGGUGCCAUCUGAAAAGCGUGAGUCGUUACAGAGAAUGUGAGAAUGGUGGGGUUUGUGGGAUACAUUUUUUUAAUCCCUGAGUUUCAGUCUCAGUUUGGAAUGAAUCAAACAUGUUUCAUGGGACUGAAAAAACUGGGAUUUUUCCCCCAUUCUUGCUGCAGUGUAGGGGUUUUGUUUGGUUUUUUUUUUUUUCAUUCAAAAUGUUUACUCACAUAUGAAGAUUUCCAUAUGUUAAAUGGUUCCUGGUAAGUUGGCAGCAAAAGGAAACAGAGGAGAAGACAAGCGUUGGGUUUUGGUUAUUUCCGCGUUUUUUUCAAUUUUAUUUAGAUUUGAGCAAAAUGGCAAGCAUUUCAUUUUGACCUACUUUCAAAUCUCAUUAGUCAAUGAAGAGAGGCUGGGAGGUGUGAUCAUGGGAACAUCAAAAAUACAGCAGAUCAGGACAGGAGAGACUAACAGCAAUCCUGCUCUGAUGGUCAGCCCAGACCCCGCUAUUUUAAUGUAUCUCAUCUUUUUUUGUGUUAGCAGUAGAAGACAUCCAGUGAGUGAAAGGGGAUGAGGAGGAAGGAGCCACCAGCGCUCCUCUCCCCAUUUUCCUUGUCUCCCUUCCAAAUGACAGCAGCCUGCAUCUCACAGUCACCAUGGUUGCAUCAAGGUCUUUAUUUUCAUGUAGGACUCAUCAAUGCACAUAAGUGCAGAUGGACAGACACGUGCUCACUCUAGUCCCUGGGCUCUGGAGCCUGCCAUCAUUACCAAGGCUGAACUCAAAAGCCUUGCCCAGAGGAAGGAUAUAUCAACUCAAAUUAGCAGUGCAGGAGCAUGGUUUCAAUACUCCCCAGUCUGAGCAAACUCACCAGUUGCUUGCUUGGCCUGUGGGAAUAUGGACCUUUAGCUGUGAUUGAUCCAAGAUUUUGCAAAGCUCUCUUCUCCACAGCAGCUCUGCCUUUCUAAUUCCAGGAAAAGCACACCAGCAGCUUCAGCAGGGUUUGAAAAAGUCUAUCCCAGAGUUAGUGUCUUCCUGAAGAACCAGCAGGAGAACCACAUUUUAUUUAAGACAAAGGCCAGCUGAGCAGCUACAGAAAAGGUCUUGGGCAGCGAACCCGAGAGGUGCACAGGAUGCUGGUACAGCUGCCCUGGUGCCUGGAGCGAUGCUGGGAGUGCCCAGCCUGGGGCGAGCAUGGCAGUGACACCGUUGGACUCUCCUACCCACUUGGGGCUCUGUAGCCCCAGGGUACUGAGAUGCUACCACAAUGCAGUGCUGUCUCAACCAGGUCAAUAAAGAAAACCACUCACUGCUUGUAACUGAAGGGACAUAUGGCUCUGCUUUGCUUCUUCAGAGCUGCCCAGAGUUUGUGAGUGACUCCUUAUCCAAAGCCUUGUCUCCCUCCUCCCAGUGCCCGAGCACCAGGUGACAAGCAGAAGUACAAAAUCCAUGUCCCCAGCCGUCUGCAGAGAGAGAAGAAGAGGUACCCAGGGACCAGCCCUGGCAUUGCUCCCUGAAGCUGGUGAGGCUAUUACUGCCUCCAGCUGCCCUGCCCGUCCAGUCGUGUUUAUUAGCCUCUGCAGCAGAUUGGGACUGGGAAUCAAAGGGAUAAAACGCAGUUUGGGGUCUGUGAACAGUUGCAGAAACCUGGGGCAGGGAGAUGGGAGCAAGGAGUGAUAAUGUGCUAAGCCACUGCAGGUGCUGGAUCAGUGGAGGGUGAACCAGCCCCUUGCUGCCCACACCAACAGCAGGCUCCUGCCGAGCCGAACGACUCAAACAGCGGACACCUGGGGGAGAUUUGCUCCUGUCUUCUGGCACCUUCUCUUGCCCUGGUUGGCAGCCGUUGUUGGAUGUGUUGCCUCAUGCCAAAUCUAUUCAUAGAUCCCUAAUCCUCUUCAGCCAACCAGCUUGGUGUCGUGGACUUUCUUCUGGGAGCCAGAUAUGUCAGUACCAUUAUACAUGUGGCUUUUGAGUGACUUGUGCAAGGCCAGGCAGCAAGCCUGUGGCUGAGCAGGUGUUGAAAUCUAGCUCUCCCAAGCUUGGGGUUGGCAGCCCUUCCACCAGGAAAUCCUUCGUUUAACUUUCCACCACAGUGGAUGGGGUUGCAUCGAUGUAGGAGGGAAGUCUCCGUGCACUCGCGCAUCUCUUCCAGCCCUUCUUCACCUACCCGCACCUCUCCCUGAAGGCACCUACUCUCAAGGAAAAGAAAUACUACUCAGUGCCCAGGAGAGAGCAGAAAGGGAUCUGGAUUGCCUCUGGCACUGUGCACCAGAGGAAGGAAUGGGACAGUUUUGGGCAAGGUUCAAGGCAGGUCGUGCAGGUUUGCAAAGUGCUCCUGCAGGGCUCCGUCAAUGGCUGUUGUCCGUGAGAGCCUGUCAGGUGUAGCAGCAGGUUUCUGUGCCACCCUCAUUUCUCUCCUCUUCAAAGAGGGAAAAAAGCUGCCCUGGAACAGGCUGACCUUUAGCAUAAUUCUUUCUUUUUUUUUUUCCCCAAGUCAGGGGCACUUGAGUGAAAACUGAAGAGGGCUAAAGCAACCUGAAUUUUUCAGCUUUCCUUGUAACAGUGACAGGGCUGUUCUUCCGCUCUUGGCAUUAAGCAAGAAAUCAAUGUUACUGCGGGAGCAAACUCCCAAACAGGUGGCGAUCACACACAAAUUAACCUGAACGAGAGCAGGAGGCACCACGUCCCCCUGCAGACCCGCCAAGCAGAGAGGAGAUCUCAUCACCCUUUGUUUGUGCUCAGAGUGUGGCUGUCCGGAGGAUGGUGCCCAAAGAGAUAAGGCUCUGGGCACAGAUGUCUGGUUUGAUUAUUCUUUUCCUUUUUGGAACAAACCAUAUGGCAGUACGGGCAGCACAGAUAGCUGGCAAUCAAAAUUCCUGGGCUCCCUCCCUGACUUCACCGUUCGCUCAUUUAAUUUUCAAAGCAGUUUUUAUGCAUCAGCAAAACUUGCUGCCUUGAACCUCCCCAUCCCCUUAAAACAAGAGCUCUCCCUCAUUACUGGAGGUGCUUUUGAAAAUAGUAACCACAUCUUGCUUUGCUAUCACAAAAUUAGAUGCACUUAAUGUUUGUAAACUACUUUGGCACCAACAGAUAAAAGGUGCUACAGACAGGUUGCUAAUCAGUUUGAUUAAGUAAAGCACCUAAAGUUUGCCACUGCUGCUGGAGGAUUGCAGGCUGAUCCAUCUAUAACCCGGAGGAGUAAGAUGAAUUAGGUACGAUAAGGAUUGUUUGGUUUCUGGUCCGUCAACCAGUGAAUGAAAUGACUCGGUGUUUAUAUGCCAGGUCACAGAGAAAAGUUUCUUGCGAUUGGAAAUGAUUAGGCACACUGAUUAAUGUUUCCAGUGCUCUUUGAUCCAGAGCUGCCAGUUGGAAUGAGUCUUGCUGCACAGAGACAUCCCGACUGCCUCGUAGCAAAAGUGCAGGGGGUAGAAAAUUGAAUGAAAAAAUGCGGGUGGGGAUGGGAAGGCUCUGCCGUAAGAUAUGCUCUUUUUUCCAUCAGGGACUCCAGGGUUGUGUUCUUUGAAUCAUCCUCUUAUUCCUGGAAGUCAAGGCAGUUUGUAACUCGCAUUGUGCUUGUCAGGUUUAUUCAUUUUAAAGAAAAUGUUCGGGAAGAUUGCCAAGUCAUCUAAACAUCCAGUACUGAUAAGGACCUCAGGGUCUGCUAAGUUAAGAAGAAAGCAUUCCAGGUUCAGGAGAAGCAUUAAAAUGUAGCACUUUCUGAGUAGUCUGCAGCUUUUGUGAAACUGUUGAUAUUUCUCUUAUGUGGAGGUGCCAUCUCCUGCAUGCCUCCUUGUGAUGGAUGUUUCUUCUUUCAGCCGUAGGAUUUCCUAUUUUUAACCCUCAAUUAGGAAGUCCCCCUUUCAUCAUAGGUGAGAUAUUUGAAUUAGUUCCCUAAGACAAGACACAGGAAGAUUUGCUUGGAUAAGAGGAAUAAUCCUCACAACUUCUUAUCAUUCCCACAUCACCAGACUGUUUGUCUUCAUUAUAUUGUGUCUCUAUCAUACUUUAGGCAUUAUGGCUGAGCCUUGGACCAACUGGGAGCCCACAAAGACAACUGCAUUGCCCACUACAAUUUCUUUAUAACCAGGACUGCAGUGUUUAUCGUCCUCACUGUCAGGCUUGUCAUCCACACUUGGUCCUUCUGGGGUGUUGCCCUCUUUUGUGCAAAGUUGUGUAUACAGGAUGAGAUUUCUAAUAAAAAUCAGAGGAUUGCCCUGGUCCCAGAGCAACCAGUUAGCAGGUGGUGAAUGGGAAUUCAAUAAAGCUCUGGAAAAUUUUUAAGGUGAAGAACCUAAAAUGCCUGGGUGUACCAAGGAGCUGAAUUGCAGAUACCCACAUCCAAGGGCGUAAAAGUAUUCCCAAAUCACUAUUUGUUCACUAAGUAUUUUGGGGGAGGCCCCUGAUCCAUAGCAAUUUCUCACAAAAUGCUUCUACUGCAACCCCAGGCGGUUCGGCAGUUAUGGCUGCUUCUGUAGGGAAGAGAAGAGGCAGGAGCUGGGGCUGCCCCUUCCUCAGGCAGCCCAAGGUCUUCCCUACUGCCUAUGGCCACCCCUGUGCUUGCAGGGAGAGGGGUAGAGCACUGGGUGAGCACUGGGCAUUCUGGCCAUCCCGUAUUUCUCUUUGCUUGUGUUUGUGCUGAAGACUUCUGAUUUUAUGAAACAUAGGAAAACUUUUGAAAUAUUGGAAAUGUUCAGGAGCUGAGAAACUGGUGGGUGAAAAGUAGGGCCCAGUGAAUCCCACUGGGGGUGUAGGUCGGUGUAAGGAGGAAGUUGCAAUGCUAUUUUUACCAAACUCGGCUGUUUCUUUGGGUGUGCCUGCUUUUUCCAUGUUUUACUAAGCAUGAGAGCUUGCAGAGACCAGCACUGAGCAGUUCUUCUCUAACACAGGAGGCCCAUGUCCCAUCUCCCACUCAAGUCAGUCACCUGUCCUGACAUCUGACCACCAUUUCAUAUCCCCAGACAGGAUCUGUGCCUUCCCUGCACUCACAGCCCCAGGACCACAGCUGGUCCCCAUCCAAAGGCUCUGAUCUCUGAUAGUGCAUGAACUCAUCCCCAGGCUGGGCUGGCAGCUUUAGGGUUUUGCUCCUCUGCUCAGCUGUUUUCACACAAUGGAUUGAAAUCUUAUAAUCUUUCAGUUCUCUGGCAUGUUUGGUGCCAGUGUAGUCAGCAGAGGGAAGACAGACAGACAGACGUCUCCUGGACUGCGUUCUGUGGGAAACUGGUAUAAAUACGAGCAUACAUCAGUUUCCUGCCUUUGUGAAAUUGUGCUUCAUGCCUGUUUUCAAGCCUAUGUUAUCUUCCUGUGCAUGAAACAGUAUCAAUUUAAUUGAAGAUAAUUUUCACAAAAAUAGGUGCCUGCUCUGCCUACUUUCUAAUUUCCCAGUGGCUCCGCAGUGGCUGCUUGGCUGCUGUCUGCUCUGCUACUAAUGGUCCCGCUUUCCUCCUCGGCUUGUGUGGUUGCCCUUGGCAUGUUGCUGGGACAGGGAGCAGUGACGUAGGGUCUCCUGGAAGCCUGUGGAUGGGGCCAAGCAAAACACAGCUGGGCAUCACCCCAAGUACCUCAAGGAUUGCUGCACCGAGCGGGUCCCAUUGUCUCAGACAUCUCAUUGUUCUUCAUAGCGACGGAGGUGUCUGUAUCACUCUUGCUUAUGGCAAGCUAGGAGCUGGGGCCAGGGAAGGGAGGAGUUUGGGAUUAGACAUGUCUCCAGCUCCUCCGGGUAGGAAUCACUGCUUAUCUGAAGCAAUUUUGGAGUGGUAUUUCGGGUGUGGCUACCGCAAUGGAGACAGUUUCACACUGGCGGAAGCCACUCCAAAGGUGUGCCAUGGUGCUUGGUGGACCCGAUGCCUCCCCAGGCACACGCCACUGGUGCUGCCCCAGCUCACUGCCAUCCUGCUCGCUGCCUCACUUGCUGGCUGCUCCUGCCAAAGCCAGGUCUCCUUUCCUCCUGCCCUCCCCAUGCAGGAUGGCAAAGCAUUGGCGUGAAUGACAAACCCACCCUCCUUAUCGUGUCCCCCUCAAUAUGGAUCCUAGCAAGGAAAUGGUGGUGGGAUGGCAAGUUCAAAGAUGCUCAGCCAAAAAUCACAGAGGUUGAUAGGUUUGCCUCGUUAUUGUACCUCAGUUAACCCUUCAGUUACUGGCCCUGAGGUGGUUUAUCUGUGAGGCUCUGUUUAUCUCUUGGGCUUGUAGCUCAAGCCAUGACAGGGGCUUCUGGUGGGCUGAGGCCUUUGGCUGCAGCCAGUUUUGCCUUUACCGGCAACAGUCACCUUUUUUUCCUCACCUUUAUGGGAGGUUGCUGCACCCACUCAGAAGCUAGGCCAUGCAUGCCAGCUCAUGUCCAGGAGGCGGAAGGGCAGGGCUUGUGCUUUGGGCUGGCAGACAAUGUGGAGCAUGAAACAAGUCAGCAGUCAGGGCAACCAUGGCCAGCGAAAAGCAUGAGACUCACUGCCCCUCUGGGCAGGGUUAGACUGGGCAGAAACCUGGCAGGGAGGAGGUCUGCCCAUGGUUAGGGUGCAACCCAGGCCAUUAAAAGUCUGGGUAUGUGGGAGCUGGAGCUGCUGUCUGAGCUCACAAGAGAUCUUUAACUCUUUAUAUCUUGGACACUCAUGGGAAACAAAUACUGUUGCAUCCUGCUUUCUGCUCACAAUUCAAAAGCUCAGGACAAUUUUCCCCCCGACAUAAAUACAUAGCAAAGUAUAUAGCAAAGAAACAGAAAGGAAAUACAGAAACACAGACAAGUCUAGGUUGGAAGGGACCUCCCAGGACCAUCUGGUCCAACUUCUGUUGAAAGCAGGGCCUUAGACAAGGUAAUUCAAGGCCCAGUCCAGCCAAGUCUUCAAUAUUUUUAGUGAGAAAGAGUCCACUCUCUUCAGGCAACUGAUCCUACUCUUUAGUUGCUCUCACAGCAAAGAACGUUUUUAAUAGCCAGGUGGAACUUCCCUUGAAGCAACUUGUGCCCAUUGCUGCUUCUCCUGUCAUAGUGUAUCCUUGUGAAAGGCACAUCUUUGGCACAACUAACCUUUAGGUAUUGGAAGGCAGUGAUUUGAUUUCCCCACCCUAAGCCUUCUGUUCUCAAGGAUGAGCAAGCACAGUUCAUUCGAUUGUGAAGUUCUCCAGCCCCCUAAUCUUGCUGAUCCCUCUGAACCAUCUCCAGGCUUUCAAUAUCUCUCUUGAACUGGGGGAAGGAAAACUGGACAGUGUGUUCCAGGUGUGGCCUAGCAGAUGCCAAGCAGAGUAGGAAAAUCACAUCCCUUCAUCUACCAACAAUAGUCUUACUACUUCAGUCCAGGAUGCUGCUGGCCUUCAUUGCUGCCAGGGUACAUGGCUGGUUCGUGUUCGGUUUGCCGUCUGCCAAGACACCCUGUACUUUUUCAGCAGAGCAAGUGUCCAGCCAGCCAGUGCCCAUCUGGUGCUACUGUUUGGGUUUAUUCCAUCCGAGGUUCAGGACUCGAUGUUUGUCUCUGCUGAACCUCUGAUACCUCUCUAUAUGGUGGCUUUUCCUUCCAGCACAUCUACAUCCUCUCCCAGCUUAGGCUCGUCCUCAAAUUUGGUGACAGUGCAUUCAAUCCUAUCUUCCAGAUCAUUUAUGAAGCUGAAUUGCAUUGACUCCAGAUGAACUUUAUUUAUGACCAGCUGCAACAUGACUUUGAGCCUUUAACAACAACCCUCUGAGCUCAGCAGGUUUAGUCAGUUUCUCAACCAUUUUUUGUUUCAUCUGUCCAGUCCAUAUCUUAAUGGCUUGUCAAAAAGGAUUUUGAGAGACGCUGUGUCAAACACCUUGCUAAAAUCAAGGUAGAUGAUAUCUACAACUUUCCCCUCAUCCACUGAACAACUUGGUCAAGCAUGACGGACCCUUUAUGUUUACUUUUCACAGUCAGCAUCUUGUCAUCUGUGUGCCUGGAAAUAGCUUUUGUAAGGGCCUGUUCCAUAGUUUUCUCAGGGACCGAAACAAGACCGACUAGUUUGCUGUUUCCUGGGUCUUCCUUUUUUGCCCUUUUUGUAGGUGGACAUACUAUUUUUCCUUCACCAGUAUUCAGACUGGAAGACCUCUCUCUACACAAAGCUGUUUACUCAUUGUUUUUCACUUUCCCUGCAUGGGGGAAUAAUGUGGUUGACACCAGACAAAUUGCUUAAAGCACUAUGGAUGACAACAUGCAAAGAACAGAAGGUCCUUGUGUGUAGUGAUACCAGUCCAAAUUAGUUAAACAGGACAAAUUCUGGGCUGUAAAUGGCAAUGGUUCAUGGUGACAUAUAGUCUAGAUCUAGAGAUGCCCUUGUUGAUGGUGGAAUAAUCCCAUCUGCAGAUCUAGGUGAAGUAAAGUGCAGUUCUGUGUAGCAUAAGCUAUCAUUAAUAUUAUUCUUGCAGGUUUUAUUUAGCAGGGACUGGUCUUUGGUCUAGCAUGCAUUCAGCAGUCAGGAUUUUGGCCUCUCAGCCAGUAUCUGGAAGCCAGAUCUCUCCAAGAAGGAGUGAGCUUGGUUUCACAAUGCAAUCAUGAUAUUGCAUGCUGGUGUCUGGUACCGCGAUGGGGGUCAUUAGAUGGAGCUAUCACCACCUGAGAGGUGGAUAGAGUUCUUUUAGAGGUCAGUUAUUAGCUGAAAGGUCUGGGUAAAGUUUGUACAGACCAGCGUAGUAAGUGGACUGAUGUUGAUAUCAAUAAUUAUAGAUAGCAGUAUGUGUUUAGGCAGUGCAGUUACUCAGCACUAUUACAGCAGCUGUACAGCAACGUACACUGUCAGACCUGUAUGCUUCUUUCAUGUUGCAAAACAAGCUACACAUCUUUAGCCCAGACUUUCCAGCUUUGGAAUACCAGGAGUUAUCCAAUGAUACCAUAAUAGUUGCGUUGGAACCUGCUAAUUCUACAUUUUAAUAACCACCGCAUUGACUAAGCUAGGAAAUAUGUGCUCUCCACUACCAAAGGAUAGGUUUUUCUGCUCCAGCUCAACAACUGACUAUGUCCUUCAUAUAUUAGCUGUUGGUGGCUCGUGAUCUGGCUUCUGAGAAGAGUAAGAGGAGAAUAGCAAGGGCUGAAUGGGAAAUUAUAGAAAGGCCAGGGAGGUUCACGCGAGGCCAGUGAAUGGUACUAACCUCCAAGGCAGUGAUUUGCCAAUGCGCAGCUGCACAUGGGUGUCCUUCUUCCACACCUAUGGAUUCAAAUUUUAAGGUGUAAUUGUAAUUACAAUUGUAAUUGUAAGGCAAUUGACAUGACAUUGCUUAACGCUGUUAUAAAUAUUCACAGAGCAGGUAGCUCUGAGCUGUGUUAGACUUCUUAUGUCUUUACUAAUGAAGCAUAUCCUCAAGCCUUCCCUCUAGGAGGGUGGAAAGCUGGCAUCCACCCAGGCUCUGUUAAUACAAACCCCAAGUUAUUUCAAGAUCAUAAGACGGAAAAUGUGCUUUUUUCCUCCCUUUUUCCAGUCUUUUAAUUUUUUUUUUUCACGAGAAUUAUCCAUUUCUGGUCUGGCUGGAAAGAGUCAAUAGAAAACAAGAUACCACUGAAACAUGUCAUUGCUGUACCCGUGGUCAGUAUUACAUGUGUGUACUUUAAUAGUCAGCUGAGUUUAAACAAAUACACAGAACUCCCUUUUUGACCGAGCAAAAAGUGACAGCUGUUUGUGCUGGUGUUUCCCUUGUGCUGCAGGCUGCCUGCUGGCAUUGCAGAGGAGGAACUGUUUGGGGUGUCGUUUGCUUGAAACACUUUAUCAUGCCUCCCCACGAGCCCUCCCUCCGUCUGGCUGCUUACAGGUUUUGAAUGAAAGGCCCUGUUCACACAUGCGGCAACUCGAAUUAUCUCUAAAUAAACUAGUAUAUGUGGAGAGUAAUUCAUGAGCACUUCCAGUGCAAUGAUAAAUGGCAGGCAGGGCCAGUGCGUACAAGGUUGGUGCCUCAGGGAUGUGUCUCCAUCAAGUUCUGCAAAGAUACUCUAGAAGGGUGUGGAAACAUGACCUUAAAAUAAGAGCUGUGUCUUUUGGAGGUUUACAGACCAGGCUGUAAGUGACAGACAUGCAGUAUUUCAUCUGUCACCUCUUGUCUAAUAUUGUAUCUCCAGAACUUGACAGAUACUUCGGGUUUUACCCCCGAUUUGCCCCUGUGUGAUUACCAAUCUGCUUCCUGAAAAACAAGAGUCAUCCUAGCCCUUAAAAGAUGCCUUAUACAGUCAGUUCUGAUAAAUACUAACAAUAAACGCUAAGAAUUUAUGUACUGUCCCGCUAUUUUCCAGCCCUUGCUGACAUGAUUCUUGAACUGCAGCUGAGUUUUGGCUGAAUGUAGGCCAUUGUCCUGCGAUGACCAAGAGAGAGAGGAAAAACCUGCAAAUACAAGAGCCACAGGAGGUUGUGGCAAGGUUUAUCCCAACAGGUUAAACAGGGACAAGGCAUAGCCCUGAGCAGUGCUGUAUACCUGUCCACACUGUAAGCUGUUAGCACAGCUCCAGCCCACACAGGCUAGCACUUCUCCAGACAACGCCCGAGCGCUGUCUGGGGACUUGCACUGGCCAGGGGCCAUCCCCAGUAGUAAUUUGGCUGCAGGCACCUUGUUCUGGGGAGGUGAAAGGGCUUAGCUGUCUGGAUACGAGCUGCUGGGCAGUUGACUCCAGUGCCAGGGAACAGUCCCUGGCUUGUCUUAUUUACAUGCGUGGACAAGAUGAAGGCUUUGGGAUACAGGAGCCUCAGUGGUGAGGGACAACAUAUGUGAAUUUUGCAAUUCUAGAUGCGGUUUUGAAAUACAUAUUUCUGUUGAACUUUCAGGUACUGCUUUCAGAUACUGUCUCUCUCAAAAACCCUGCACUUGCUGAAUACCUAUUAUUGCUCCCAUAUGGCAAGGAAGGGAAGAAAUCCUUCAACUUCAGAUAACAGACAUAAAAUAGUGUGAAAGAAAUGUGAAACGACUGGGGAGGAGUUUUGUUCUGAUCUACAGAGAAACUAUAGGAGAUUGAUAGAUUGCUGCUGAUACAAUUGAAAAGCACGCUGUAUCUCCCUAUUUGUGAGAAGAUGGAGAACAGAAGUAAAGACAGCUCAAAAACAUGGAAAUACCAAACAGAAAUGGUAGUCAAUCUCAUGUACAGGGUCUUACUUGUCACAUAAAAAUGUCUAGGCUUUGUCUGUACACAUCUGUACUCGUGUCUACUUCUUUAUUAGGCAUAAACUCAUAGCAAUUCACUGUAGUCAAACUGGUCAUACCUGUAGAACCUGUUGAAAAAAUGACUCUUUUUCUGCCCUUAAAUUCCCAGCUGAAAUUGAUAAAAAUAAAUAAGUAGCCUUGCCUCUAAGGAAUGAUGUUCCUGGGGAAAAAACUGUAUUGUGAUUUGAAUCAAUGCUGCAAAGCUCAUCCUGUAUAAACCAUUAGUCCUGGAAUCCAGCACAGCUGAAUUAUAGAUGAAAUGUAUUUUGGUCCAUUGCGUCAAUGUGUUGCUUGUACUGGGGAACCUGAAACUGGACACAAUGCUCCAGAUGCAAUCUUAUGAGUGUCAGAAAAAAGGGAAUGAUGCCUUCUUUCAACUUACAGUUGUCUCAUCAUAGAAGGUAGCCUGGCUGGACAGCCAAAAGAUUAACAGCACUCUGCUUGUCUACACUGACCAUGCCAGGUUACCUUCAGAGGAGUUAGCAUGUCUUUGGCUAAGGCACUAAGGCUAGAAAUAUGACUUGAAAAGUAGAAGGUGGCCUGGGUUCUGCUUGUAUACGUAGUUGUAUCUGCAUGACCUCUUAAAAUGGAGUCCCAUGAGCAUAGGGUGUGUGGUCAAGAGCCAAGUAUGUGACAAGAUCUAAAGGUAGGAGGGAUUUGUCUGGUAUCUCAGAGGGCUUAGGGUGUAGGAUGGUCCUUUCUCAGUUCUGAAUGGUCUUCAUACAUGGUUCUGUAUCCAUCCAGGCUUUUGUAUCUUCUGCUUUUUAACAAAACUAGCCUUGAAUGAAGGGGCAUGAUACUUGACUCAGGCAUCUUGAUAUAGCUGAACUGCUCUAGCUAGUGGAACUGCACAAGGGUUUACAAUGUUUAUGCUGAAGUGAAUAAAUUAGUAGCCCUAAAGUGCUGAAAACAAACACUUUGGGAUAAAUUGAGAGGAUGGGAAAAAUGCCCCCUCUCCUUGCCUUGCAUCAUCUCACAUUCCAUCCUUUGACUAUGCUCACCAAGGUAGGUGAAGGGGAUCGAUAGAUGGAGGAGGUUAUAAGGCUCUUGUCAUGUUCCCAAGGUCUGAAAUCCGUUUAAAAAAAUGUGUGCAGCCACAAAGCAACCUGAGAGCCUGUCUUCUCAGGCUGGGAGGUCUGAGCACUGCCAAAGGAUUCUGGCCCCCUCUCCCAGCCUGAUGCUUUGAAAGAAUAACAUUUGGCUCCAUGAUACUGCGGGUCUGUUGACUUGUGCUUAUAUGUUUGUGCUUGGAUGUGUGCACAACUCAAAAGCAGGUCUGAGGUUAAGUAAAGCCCCUUGCUUGGUGGGAAAGCUUGAUCAACAUGUCACAGAACAUGACAACUUCCAUAAUGGUUUUUAAAAAAUGCAUAUGGGAUUAGCUGCCAGCUUCCAGGGGAGGGAUAUGUGGUAACCACUUGAAAUAUCUAACUUCUGGGCUCUGCCCUCAUCUCCACAGCAGUUUUGAGCAAAUCAUUUGAUUUCUCUAUGCCAGCCAGUUGAUCUGUAAUACUGUACUCUUUAUCUGACAACUUUGAGUGUUGUGUGGCUUAUUGAAGGUCUUUUCAUGUCAGAGACUUAAUGUAGGCUUUAGUGAUUUUUUUUUUUAAUGUUCAAAUUGAAAAUUAAUGCCUUUUUUUCCUUCUUUCUGUCUGUAUGAAAAGACAUUUAAUACUUCUGAAAAUUUACUCCUUUUAUUGUGUCUUAAUUCAGGCAUUUAAAACCAUGGCCCAUUUUGAAUUUAGGCCAAACACCCCUGCCAUGGCAUGACACAGUUUUCUCUUGGUUGUGCAAACAACCUAACUCAGCACAAAUGAGUACGGAGGUGAGAGUGAUAAGAAGAUGGGAUGUUACAUAUCUUGGCUGCAAGGAUAUAACAAAGGUUUGUCCUGUGUACAUUAGUUGGAGCCAUGCUCAUAUGUUCCUCCGAGACAGUGAGUUUUGCUCUUUAUGAAAGGCGUGUGUAAGCAUGAAGUACUGGAAAUAAAAAGACAGCUGA